rnacentral:rRNA from 1 species
GAUGAACGCUGACCGAAUGCUUAACACAUGCAAGUCAACUUGAACUUCGGUUUGGGUGGCGGACGGGUGAGUAACGCGUAAAGAACUUGCCUCACAGUUAGGGACAACAUUUGGAAACGAAUGCUAAUACCUGAUAUUAUGAUUUUAGGGCAUCCUAGAAUUAUGAAAGCUAUAUGCGCUGUGAGAGAGCUUUGCGUCCCAUUAGCUAGUUGGAGAGGUAACGGCUCACCAAGGCGAUGAUGGGUAGCCGGCCUGAGAGGGUGAACGGCCACAAGGGGACUGAGACACGGCCCUUACUCCUACGGGAGGCAGCAGUGGGGAAUAUUGGACAAUGGACCAAGAGUCUGAUCCAGCAAUUCUGUGUGCACGAUGAAGUUUUUCGGAAUGUAAAGUGCUUUCAGUUGGGAAGAAAAAAAUGACGGUACCAACAGAAGAAGUGACGGCUAAAUACGUG